ACUGGUGUAGCUUAGGGGUAAAGUCCUCAUUUCACGCGCGUGAGGUCCGUGGUUCGAUUCCACCCAUCAGUA
rnacentral:tRNA from 2 species